GACGAACCACACGAACGUUAUUCGGAAUUACUGGGCUUAAAGGGUGCGUAGGCGGCGCAGAAAGUUGGGUGUGAAAUGCCUCGGCUCACCCGAGGAGCUGCGUCUCAUACUGCUUGGCUUGAGUAUGGGAGAGGAUGUGGGAAUUCCUGGUGUAGCGGUGAAAUGCGUAGAUAUCAGGAGGAACACCGGUGGCGAAGGCGCACAUCUGGCCCAAUACUGACGCUGAAGCGCGAAAGCUAGGGGAGCAAACGGG
rnacentral:rRNA from 1 species